UCCAUUUUGUAUCUGCCGCAUCUAUUCGUCGUCAUCUGUCCUAUGAUCACAUCAUUGGAGAUGCUAAAGGUUGGACAGGAAUUCUUUGUUCCUUGCUUGCUGAAACAGAAAUAUGAUAUCAAGUUGGCAUGGCAACAGCUGGCCGGGUCCACUCGAUUUUCUCCCUCUCUCAUAUUUUGUCCUGAUGUUUUGACACAACUGCCGAGCCGAUCUUUUUUUGCUUGGUAUCUUGUUGUGCCACUGAAUAUGCACAUUCUCGUCCCAAACUGAAACGAGGUCAUGCUGUCUUUCAUGUGGAUGAUGAUCUUGAGCUUUAUCUGGAACUGGUUUACCAUGAACUGCAUUACAUUAUUGCUACAGUAUGUUCUCCUCGUCAAAUUUUUCUCUUGAUGAGCUGAAACAUUAAUGUAGCAUCAUUCGUCAGUUUCUUAUUCAUCAGCUCAAUGAGGCCAAGAAACGAGGAUUGGAUGGCUUCAAGUUCACUGUAUGCGUUAUUCUUCCCUCAAGUGAAGCUGAAGAUGCCCAAUCGAUAGAUAAUGAUUCUUUGGUGUGCAUUGAUAAAUAUCCAUCUCAACGGGGUUCGAUAAACCAGAGGAAUGAUCAUGUGUCACGAGAGCAAUUUCCCACUUUGGAUAUCUGGUUUAGUGACUGAACAGAAAGUUUAGAUAUUGAAACUGGAAGUGAUAGACAGCAACAAGAUGAACGAACAACGAUUCAGAAAGUGAAUCUGCUCAUUCAAGUGUGUUGACAUCCGGAGUGUGUCAACAGUCACAAGUGUCUAAUCUUGAUGACAUGUUGAGUCCUAAGCUGUUAGUGAAAGUUGCUCGUGAAGUAUCUCACAGAUGGCAAGAAUUUGGGGCCCAUCUUUCAGCAUAUAUGUUUCCUGCAAAGAGAAUGACGUUAUCACUGAUAAAAACACAGAACCAUUCUUUGUGUGCUCAAGCCAUGUUAGAAGAAUGGAGAGAGGCAAUGGGCAGAGAAGCUACUUGUGACUUGGUUGUUCAAACACUUUUGGAGAUGAUUUUGAGGAAGGAGGCAUGUAAUAUAUUUGGGUAUGAUGUAGUAGAACUUAUUUAUGCAAACAAAUCAUCUGUCACGUGACUUUAAUUUAGUGACUGGAAAUCAGUUUUGUCCUUUGUGUAAUAAUUUUUAGAUUUAUUUGUAAAUGCGCUGUAAAUAGUAUAGCAAUGUGGUGUCAAUCGA